rnacentral:rRNA from 1 species
CCUACGGGAGGCAGCAGUGAGGAAUAUUGGUCAAUGGCCGGAAGGCUGAACCAGCCAUGCCGCGUGAAGGUCAGUGCCCUAUGGGCGUUAAACUUCUUUUGUGCGGGAGCAAUAAUGGUCACGUGUGGCCAGACGAGAGUACCGUACGAAUAAGCAUCGGCUAACUCCGUGCCAGCAGCCGCGGUAAUACGGGGGAUGCAAGCGUUAUCCGGAUUUAUUGGGUUUAAAGGGUGCGUAGGCGGGUUAUCAAGUCAGCGGUAAAAUCGUGGAGCUCAACUCCAUCCAGCCGUUGAAACUGAUGAUCUUGAGUGGGCGAGAAGUAUGCGGAAUGCGUGGUGUAGCGGUGAAAUGCAUAGAUAUCACGCAGAACUCCGAUUGCGAAGGCAGCAUACCGGCGCCCGACUGACGCUGAAGCACGAAAGCGUGGGUAUCGAACAGGAUUAGAUACCCCAGUAGUC